rnacentral:rRNA from 1 species
UCUGGUUGAUCCUGCCAGUAGUCAUAUGCUUGUCUCAAAGAUUAAGCCAUGCAUGUGUAAGUAUAAGUAUUGUACAACGAAACUGCGAAUGGCUCAUUAAAUCAGUUAUAGUUUAUUUGAUAAUCGCAAGUACAUGGAUAACCGUGACAAAUUACAGCUAAUACAUGCAGUCAAACCCAGCCCAGGGUUGUAAUUAUUAGUAUUAAACCAAUUCCUUCGGGAGUGUGAUGAAUCAUAGUAAUCGAACGGAUCGCAGAAUUCUGCGAUAAAUCAUUCAAGUUUCUGCCCUAUCAGCUUUGGAUGGUAGUGUAUUGGACUACCAUGGCAGUCACGGGUAACGGAGAAUUAGGGUUCGAUUCCGGAGAGGGAGCCUGAGAAACGGCUACCACAUCUACGGAAGGCAGCAGGCGCGAAAAUUGCCCAAUCCUAACAUAGGGAGGCAGUGACAAGAAAUAACAACUCUCGACUUUGUUGAGAAGUGUAAUGAGGCUAAUUUACAAACCUUACCGAAAGCAAUUGGAGGACAAGUCUGGUGCCAGCACCCGCGGUAAUUCCAGCUCCAAUAGCGUAUAUUAAAGUUGUUGCAGUUAAAAAGCUCGUAGUUGAAAAUCUGGUUGUAUUGGGCUCCUGCACCCAUGCGUGAGUACCAGCAGCCAUCCGCUUGCAAGUACAUGUCCUUCCUUAACCGGUAGGCUGUAUGAGUAAGCAAUUUACCUUGAGAAAAACAGAGUGUUCCAGGCAGGUUUGUCCGGAAUGCAUUAGCAUGGAAUAAUAGAAUAUGACUGAAGUCGAUUUAUUGGUUUGAGGCUUUAGUAAUGAUUAAUAGGAACAGUCGGGGGCAUUAGUACUUGUCAGCUAGAGGUGAAAUUCCAGGAUUUGACAAAGACUAACUGAUGCGAAAGCGUUUGCCAAGGAUGUUUUCAUUAAUCAAGAACGAAAGUUAGGGGAUCAAAGACGAUCAGAUACCGUCCUAGUCUUAACUAUAAACCAUACCGACUCGGAUUCAGAUGAAUAUUAAAGUUCAUUUGGGACCGUAGGAGAAAUCAAAGUCUUUGGGUUCUGGGGGGAGUAUGGUCGCAAGGCUGAAACUUAAAGGAAUUGACGGUUUUGCACCACCAUGGAGUGGAGCCUGCGGCUUAAUUUGACCCAACACUGGGAAACUCAUCAGGGCAAGAAGAUUUUAGGAUUGACAGAUUGAGAGUUC